rnacentral:rRNA from 1 species
AUUGAACGCUGGCGGCAUGCCUUACACAUGCAAGUCGAACGGCAGCACGGGAGCAAUCCUGGUGGCGAGUGGCGAACGGGUGAGUAAUAUAUCGGAACGUGCCCAGUCGUGGGGAUAACGUAGCGAAAGCUACGCUAAUACCGCAUACGAUCUAUGGAUGAAAGCGGGGGAUCGCAAGACCUCGCGCGAUUGGAGCGGCCGAUAUCAGAUUAGGUAGUUGGUGNGGUAAGGACGUCACCCAAAGACCGACCGGAAUCUGUAGCUGGUCUGAGAAGGGGGGGGGGGACCAG